rnacentral:tRNA from 1 species
CGUGGAAUAGAGCAGUUGGUAGCUCGUUUGGCUCAUAACCAAGAGGUCGGUGGUUCGAUCCCACCUUCCGCUA